rnacentral:rRNA from 1 species
UGGGGAAUAUUGGACAAUGGGCGAAAGCCUGAUCCAGCCAUGCCGCGUGUGUGAAGAAGGUCUUCGGAUUGUAAAGCACUUUAAGUUGGGAGGAAGGGCAUUAACCUAAUACGUUAGUGUUUUGACGUUACCGACAGAAUAAGCACCGGCUAACUCUGUGCCAGCAGCCGCGGUAAUACAGAGGGUGCAAGCGUUAAUCGGAAUUACUGGGCGUAAAGCGCGCGUAGGUGGUUUGUUAAGUUGGAUGUGAAAUCCCCGGGCGCAACCUGGGAACUGCAUUCAAAAGUGACUGACUAGAGUAUGGUAGAGGGUGGUGGAAUUUCCUGUGUAGCGGUGAAAUGCGUAGAUAUAGGAAGGAACACCAGUGGCGAAGGCGACCACCUGGACUAAUACUGACACUGAGGUGCGAAAGCGUGGGGAGCAAACA